CCUCUUUCCCACUCUACUCGGGGGAGGGAGAGUGAUUCCAGAUUCCAGUUGGCUCAUCUGUGCUCCUGUCCUGGCCGUGGAUUUCGCCUCUGGCUCGUCCUUCUCCUGGGCUUCUGCCGGCCCCACGGCGCGCCGGGAAAAGACGACAAGCCAAGCAGAGCAAGUGUUCAUUAGAAAGAUGGAGGAAGUGGAUUUGCCAACAAACAAGUAGCUGUGCAGAGUGGAUGACGUCACUAGAUCUGCUAGGGAUUCCCCAAGGCUGAAGAGUUGGGGGCUGAAAUUCCACUGACAGGUAUAUAUGAACUCCACGCCGCGCAGCAACAUCAUCUCCCUCCAAGAUUAAUAUCAUCUGCUGCUCUGAACGUGUAAGGGGGAAGUCCACACUCACCGUCUGGAUCUCUAUCCGGUCAUCUCCGCCGUUGGGACUCACACGACUCCAUCAUCGCAGGGUGUCUUCGUCUUUACCUCCUAUUGAACCACCACGUCCAAUCAUCCUGGACAAUAAAUUCGUGAGUUUAUCCA